GAGAGCCGGAUGCGCCGAGAGGUGCAUGUCCGGUUCGGAGAGGAGAGGCAGGGAAACAUCCCGGAGAUGCGCCCUGUCUCUUACUCUAC
rnacentral:ncRNA from 1 species